GAUGAACGCUGGCGGCGUGCCUAAUACAUGCAAGUCGAGCGAACGGACGAGAAGCUUGCUUCUCUGGUGUUAGCGGCGGACGGGUGAGUAACACGUGGAUAACCUACCUAUAAGACUGGGAUAACUUCGGGAAACCGGAGCUAAUACCGGAUGAUAUUUUGAACCGCAUGGUUCAAAAGUGAAAGACGGUCUUGCUGUCACUUAUAGAUGUAUCCGCGCUGCAUUAGCUAGUUGGUAAGGUAACGGCUUACCAAGGCAACGAUGCAUAGCCGACCUGAGAGGGUGAUCGGCCACACUGGAACUGAGACACGGUCCAGACUCCUACGGGAGGCAGCAGUAGGGAAUCUUCCGCAAUGGGCGAAAGCCUGACGGAGCAACGCCGCGUGAGUGAUGAAGGUCUUCGGAUCGUAAAACUCUGUUAUUAGGGAAGAACAUAUGUGUAAGUAACUGUGCACAUCUUGACGGUACCUAAUCAGAAAGCCACGGCUAACUACGUG
rnacentral:rRNA from 1 species